UACGUAGGGUGCAGGCGUUUAAUCGGAAUUACUGGGCGUAAAGCGUGCGCAGGCGGUUUGCUAAGACAGGUGUGAAAUCCCCGGGCUUAACCUGGGAACUGCGCUUGUUACUGGCAGGCUUGAGUGUGGCAGAGGGGGGUGGAAUUCCACGUGUAGCAGUGAAAUGCGUAGAGAUGUGGAGGAACACCGAUGGCGAAGGCAGCCCCCCUGGGCUAACACUGACGCUCAUGCACGAAAGCGUGGGGAGCAAACAGG
rnacentral:rRNA from 1 species